rnacentral:rRNA from 1 species
GAUGAACGCUGGCGGCGUGCCUAACACAUGCAAGUCGAACGGAGAAUAUACGCUUCAGAAGCUUCGGCAGAUGAUUGUAUAUUCUUAGUGGCGGACGGGUGAGUAACGCGUGGGUAACCUGCCUCAUACUGGGGGAUAACAGCUGGAAACGACUGUUAAUACCGCAUAAGCGCACAGUGUCGCAUGACACAGUGUGAAAAACUCCGGUGGUAUGAGAUGGGCCCGCGUCAGAUUAGCCAGUUGGCGGGGUAACGGCCCACCAAAGCAACGAUCUGUAGCCGGACUGAGAGGUCGGACGGCCACAUUGGGACUGAGACACGGCCCAAACUCC